rnacentral:rRNA from 1 species
AUUGAGCGCUGGCGGCAUGCCUUACACAUGCAAGUCGAACGGCAGCGGGGGAGAAGCUUGCUUUUCCUGCCGGCGAGUGGCGAACGGGUGAGUAAUACAUCGGAACGUGCCCUGUAGUGGGGGAUAACUAGUCGAAAGAUUAGCUAAUACCGCAUACGACCUGAGGGUGAAAGUGGGGGACCGCAAGGCCUCAUGCUAUAGGAGCGGCCGAUGUCUGAUUAGCUAGUUGGUGGGGUAAAGGCCUACCAAGGCGACGAUCAGUAGCUGGUCUGAGAGAAGGAUCAGCCACACUGGGACUGAGACACGGCCCAGACUCCUACGGGAGGCAGCAGUGGGGAAUUUUGGACAAUGGGCGCAAGCCUGAUUCAGCAAUGCCGCGUGAGUGAAGAAGGCCUUCGGGUUGUAAACUGCUUUUGUACGGAACGAAAAGGUUUCUUUUAAUACAGGGAACUGAUGACGGUACCGUAAGAAUAAGCACCGGCUAACUACGUGCCAGCAGCCGCCGUAA